rnacentral:rRNA from 1 species
UGAAAUGUUGGGUUAAGUCCCGCAACGAGCGCAACCCUUAUCCUUUGUUGCCAGCGGUCCGGCCGGGAACUCAAAGGAGACUGCCAGUGAUAAACUGGAGGAAGGUGGGGAUGACGUCAAGUCAUCAUGGCCCUUACGACCAGGGCUACACACGUGCUACAAUGGCGCAUACAAAGAGAAGCGACCUCGCGAGAGCAAGCGGACCUCAUAAAGUGCGUCGUAGUCCGGAUUGGAGUCUGCAACUCGACUCCAUGAAGUCGGAAUCGCUAGUAAUCGUGGAUCAGAAUGCCACGGUGAAUACGUUCCCGGGCCUUGUACACACCGCCCGUCACACCAUGGGAGUGGGUUGCAAAAGAAGUAGGUAGCUUAACCUUCGGGAGGGCGCUUACCACUUUGUGAUUCAUGACUGGGGUGAAGUCGUAACAAGGUAACCGUAGGGGAACCUGCGGUUGGA